UACGGGGGGGGUAAGCGUUGUUCGGAAUUACUGGGCGUAAAGGGCUCGUAGGCGGCCAACUAAGUCAGACGUGAAAUCCCUCAGCUUAACUGGGGAACUGCGUCUGAUACUGGAUGGCUUGGAUUCGGGAGAGGAAUGCGGAAUUCCAGGUGUAGCGGUGAAAUUCGUAGAUAUUCGGAGGAACGCCGGUGGCGAAAGCGGCGUGCUGGACCCUUUCUGACGCUGAGGCGCGAAAGCCAGGGGAGCAAACGGG
rnacentral:rRNA from 1 species